AAAAAAGAAUGAAACGAAAAAAAAGAAAAAAAUAAAAAAAAGAAUGAAACGAAAAGAAUACAAACGACGUUCGGUCGACAAAGUUAACAAUUAUAAUCUUCAAUUCCGUUCGAUUGUACGCAGAUGUGUACACAUCGUGUCAUUAAACAACUCGUGACAAAAAGUAAACGAACGAUCAUUAUCCGACCAUCAGGAAAAGUUUCACGAAAUCACGCGAUCAGAGUAACGAAAACAGGGGCUGUGACGGUCGCUUCUACGUACAUUUUCGAGCAAAUAUGUAUCGCAGAAACGUUCAAGAAUUGUUUACGACAGGGACGGACAAUGAUACGACGAAAAUAUAAAUUAAUUAAUGAUUGUUGAAACGAAAGGUUCACAGAGAGCAAUUGAGACGCGUUAUGCAACGAAAACCCGCGACUCGGCCUCAACCAACACACACCGAGAACAAAUAACCACAACGCGAAAUCAAUUUUCAACGUACGUAAGAUUUGAACAAAUGCUUUCGCCGGGGUAAUAUGUGCGUUUUUUAAUUCGUCAUCGGGGCGCUAAAAAUAACGCGUUUCUCGCAUUGUUAUUAUAUCAUUAAUCGCCGGGCGACUUCUUGAGAGUUGUGUAACGCAGUCAGGCUAAUGGUCGCGUUAAAAUGACGCCACGCGAAAUGUUAUCGAGACAGAGAGAUGAGAACGGGUCAAUUGCGGAUGACACGUGACGCUUAGCCUGAUAUGCCAUCGUUCUCCUCAAUUCGAUUUAACGCUUACAACGAAGAACUCGCCAGUGUGGCGACGAUUUCUAAAAUAGAGAUCAAACUUUCCGGUUUGUUGCAGGCAACGCGAUUCUCACGACAAAUGAACGUUCCGUUCCGAGAACGCAUGCUCGUUAAAUAAUUCCGUGGGAAACACGUGAUUUUCAUUAAAAACCAACGGCACAUUUUCCGAUCAUAAAAUUCCAAUCGUUAAGCCACAGUAGGUGAGAUACUCUAUCGUAAUAUCUACCAUUGUUAAUAGCAAAUAGAACGAGUCAAACUUAUUCGAAAAUUAUUUCAUUGAAAGACAAAAUUUGGUUCUACAAGUUGUUCAACGACAUGAGGGAUGCUUCUGUCUAGCAUAGGACUAUCCAGUUAGCCUUGAUAUAUUGACACAACGGUAUUUUGUGUUGCGUGACUGCUGGGAUUCGAAAUGGGACUUCCAUCGAAAAAAGUCAAAUAAAUAUACGUGUAUAGACGCGAGAAACGCGCUCAACGAACGCUGCUACUCACUUUUUGUUGCCUGAGCCUUGUUUCGUCUUCUGCUGAAUGAGGGAAUUUCAACAACGCGUGUCACAUUCUACAAAUCGGACACUGUUCCUCCGGACGAAUAACAAACUCGAACGAAACGAAACGAAAUACGCAUGCUUCGCGCAAAGCCUGCGCCGCUACUGAACGCAAUUCUCAACUUCGACACUCCUCUGCCUUGUUUCCUCGUUCUAUGACGUAUGCAUGUGUUCAACGUGCCAGUACGUUUGAUCGUAAUAUACGGUCUGCAUCUUUCUUUCGACGAUGGUGUCUUUAUUUGCAAUUUCGAUAAAAAGGAAAAAAAAUUUAGCCGUAAAACAAUGUUUAAGAAAAAAAACUUUUCAUUAUAUAGGGUGGGCCAAAAACCCCACUUCCGACUAAAAUAAAUCCGUAAUUUUGUUAUUAACUUGCGAACGCCCUAGUGGUCAACAUUUAAAUGAAGAAAUAAUUUUUAAAACAUGAUGGAAAAAUCGUGCUUCAACUUAAAUUCAAUUUGAAAUUAGUGAAAUUUGUUUUUUUUAUAUUUCGAUGUUUUAUUAAAAAAGAAAAAAAAAAUUGGUGGGAAGAAACUUUCGGCUCACUCUGUAUCGUGUCUCGUUGCGUGUUUGACGAUUAUUCAUUUACGAUUCACGGUUUCUUCGAAACUUAAUUAACUAAUAAUUUUUCAACAUUUGAUGUAUAUAAACUACAUUUUUAUUGAAAGACGAAAUUGAAAAAAAACCAGUCGAAUAAAAUAAAUAAAGUAUAAUAGAAGAACAGGAAAAGGGAAUAGAGGAUAUUUAUGCAGACACAUUCUAAAAAAGAAAUUGCUAUUCGUAAAAGUUGCUAUUAUACAAUAUUCUGUUUUUUAGAUGCACUUACAAAGUAAAGUUAAACAUAGCUGUGACACAAAAUGUUGGGAGAUACUUAUAUAGUUUAUGAUUAUAAGGCACAUGAUAAUGAAAAUAAAAUAAUAAAACGUUGUUAUUAAAAUAUAAUUAUUGCUGACACAACU